CUCCUUUAUAUCUUACACUACCAGGAAAAGACAGACCUGAGGUGGUGCCUUGAUAUAAGUACAGUCCUCCAGGCUGCAGUAAGAUGGGACAGCAUUACAUUGUCAUAACGAGGGAUGAGCUUAAACUUUGAAAAGGAAAUGCUCCCAGACAAACGCACAGCAAGCCCUAAUUAAGUCUUUCCUCGGAUCCUGACGUCUUUUCCUCCAACAUUUCCUUGGGUGUAGAUGUAUAAGUAAGAGGAAGCAGGAGAAAGCAAAUCAGAGCACAGGUUCCGGACGCGCAGGCUCAGCGGCCACGGCUCACGGGCCCAGCCGCUCCGCGGCAUCUUCCCGAACCAGGGCACGAACCCGUGUGUCCUGCAUCGGCAGGCGGACUCUCAACCACCGCGCCACCAGAGAAGCCCUGGCGGCUCUUUUGACAGUUUA